rnacentral:misc_RNA from 1 species
GAAGGAGAAAUACUGGUGGGUUAGUAUGAAGCGGGAAAUUGCAGAGUUCGUGGCCCUUUGUGAUGUGUGCCAGCGUGUCAAGGCAGAGCACCAACGACCGGCCGGACUUCUCCAACCUCUCCAAGUACCAGAAUGGAAAUGGGAUGAAAUUGGGAUGGAUUUCAUCACCGGACUUCCAAAAACCCAAGGUGGAUAUGAUUCUAUAUGGGUAGUUGUGGAUCGAUUAACCAAGGU